rnacentral:rRNA from 1 species
GAUGAACGCUGGCGGCGUGCUUAACACAUGCAAGUCGAACGGGAAACCUUUUAUUGAAGCUUCGGCAGAUUUAGCUGGUUUCUAGUGGCGGACGGGUGAGUAACGCGUGGGUAACCUGCCUUAUACAGGGGGAUAACAGUCAGAAAUGGCUGCUAAUACCGCAUAAGCGCACAGAGCUGCAUGGCUCAGUGUGAAAAACUCCGGUGGUAUAAGAUGGACCCGCGUUGGAUUAGCUGGUUGGUGGGGUAACGGCCCACCAAGGCGACGAUCCAUAGCCGGCCUGAGAGGGUGAACGGCCACAUUGGGACUGAGGCACGGCCCAGACUCCGACGGGAAGCAGCAGUGGGGAAUAUUGCACAAUGGGGGAAACCCUGAUGCAGCGACGCCGCGGGAAGGAAGAAGUAUCUCGGUAUGUAAACUUCUAUCAGCAGGGAAGAUAAUGACGGUACCUGACUAAGAAGCCCCGGCUAACUACGUG